rnacentral:rRNA from 1 species
GGGUUGUGAGGUUAAGCGACUAAGCGUACACGGUGGAUGCCCUGGCAGUCAGAGGCGAUGAAGGACGUGCUAAUCUGCGAAAAGCGUCGGUAAGGUGAUAUGAACCGUUAUAACCGGCGAUGUCCGAAUGGGGAAACCCAGUGUGAUUCGUCACACUAUCGUUAACUGAAUACAUAGGUUAACGAGGCGAACCGGGGGAACUGAAACAUCUAAGUACCCCGAGGAAAAGAAAUCAACCGAGAUUCCCCCAGUAGCGGCGAGCGAACGGGGAGCAGCCCAGAGUCUGAAUCAGCUUGUGUGUUAGUGGAACGGUCUGGAAAGUCCGACGGUACAGGGUGAUAGUCCCGUACACCAAAAUGCACAGGCUGUGAACUCGAAGAGUAGGGCGGGACACGUGGUAUCCUGUCUGAAUAUGGGGGGACCAUCCUCCAAGGCUAAAUACUCCUGACUGACCGAUAGUGAACCAGUACCGUGAGGGAAAGGCGAAAAGAACCCCGGCGAGGGGAGUGAAAAAGAACCUGAAACCGUGUACGUACAAGCAGUGGGAGCACCUUCGGGUGUGACUGCGUACCUUUUGUAUAAUGGGUCAGCGACUUAUAUUCUGUAGCAAGGUUAACCGUAUAGGGGAGCCGCAGGGAAACCGAGUCUUAACUGGGCGUUAAGUUGCAGGGUAUAGACCCGAAACCCGGUGAUCUAGCCAUGGGCAGGUUGAAGGUUGGGUAACACUAACUGGAGGACCGAACCGACUAAUGUUGAAAAAUUAGCGGAUGACUUGUGGCUGGGGGUGAAAGGCCAAUCAAACCGGGAGAUAGCUGGUUCUCCCCGAAAGCUAUUUAGGUAGCGCCUCGUGAACUCAUCUUCGGGGGUAGAGCACUGUUUCGGCUAGGGGGUCAUCCCGACUUACCAACCCGAUGCAAACUACGAAUACCGAAGAAUGUUAUCACGGGAGACACACGGCGGGUGCUAACGUCCGUCGUGAAGAGGGAAACAACCCAGACCGCCAGCUAAGGUCCCAAAGUCAUGGUUAAGUGGGAAACGAUGUGGGAAGGCACAGACAGCCAGGAUGUUGGCUUAGAAGCAGCCAUCAUUUAAAGAAAGCGUAAUAGCUCACUGGUCGAGUCGGCCUGCGCGGAAGAUGUAACGGGGCUAAACCAUGCACCGAAGCUGCGGCAGCGACACUAUGUGUUGUUGGGUAGGGGAGCGUUCUGUAAGCCUGCGAAGGUGUGCUGUGAGGCAUGCUGGAGGUAUCAGAAGUGCGAAUGCUGACAUAAGUAACGAUAAAGCGGGUGAAAAGCCCGCUCGCCGGAAGACCAAGGGUUCCUGUCCAACGUUAAUCGGGGCAGGGUGAGUCGACCCCUAAGGCGAGGCCGAAAGGCGUAGUCGAUGGGAAACAGGUUAAUAUUCCUGUACUUGGUGUUACUGCGAAGGGGGGACGGAGAAGGCUAUGUUAGCCGGGCGACGGUUGUCCCGGUUUAAGCAUGUAGGCUGAUUGUCCAGGCAAAUCCGGAUAAUCAAGGCUGAGGUGUGAUGACGAGGCACUACGGUGCUGAAGUAACAAAUGCCCUGCUUCCAGGAAAAGCCUCUAAGCAUCAGGUAACAUUAAAUCGUACCCCAAACCGACACAGGUGGUCAGGUAGAGAAUACCAAGGCGCUUGAGAGAACUCGGGUGAAGGAACUAGGCAAAAUGGUGCCGUAACUUCGGGAGAAGGCACGCUGGUGUGUAGGUGAAGUCCCUGCGGAUGGAGCUGAGACCAGUCGAAGAUACCAGCUGGCUGCAACUGUUUAUUAAAAACACAGCACUGUGCAAACACGAAAGUGGACGUAUACGGUGUGACGCCUGCCCGGUGCCGGAAGGUUAAUUGAUGGGGUUAUCCGUAAGGAGAAGCUCUUGAUCGAAGCCCCGGUAAACGGCGGCCGUAACUAUAACGGUCCUAAGGUAGCGAAAUUCCUUGUCGGGUAAGUUCCGACCUGCACGAAUGGCGUAAUGAUGGCCAGGCUGUCUCCACCCGAGACUCAGUGAAAUUGAACUCGCUGUGAAGAUGCAGUGUACCCGCGGCAAGACGGAAAGACCCCGUGAACCUUUACUAUAGCUUGACACUGAACAUUGAGCCUUGAUGUGUAGGAUAGGUGGGAGGCUUUGAAGCGUGGACGCCAGUCUGCGUGGAGCCAACCUUGAAAUACCACCCUUUAAUGUUUGAUGUUCUAACGUUGGCCCCUGACCGGGGUUGCGGACAGUGUCUGGUGGGUAGUUUGACUGGGGCGGUCUCCUCCCAAAGCGUAACGGAGGAGCACGAAGGUUAGCUAAUCCUGGUCGGACAUCAGGAGGUUAGUGCAAUGGCAUAAGCUAGCUUGACUGCGAGCGUGACGGCGCGAGCAGGUGCGAAAGCAGGUCAUAGUGAUCCGGUGGUUCUGAAUGGAAGGGCCAUCGCUCAACGGAUAAAAGGUACUCCGGGGAUAACAGGCUGAUACCGCCCAAGAGUUCAUAUCGACGGCGGUGUUUGGCACCUCGAUGUCGGCUCAUCACAUCCUGGGGCUGAAGUAGGUCCCAAGGGUAUGGCUGUUCGCCAUUUAAAGUGGUACGCGAGCUGGGUUUAGAACGUCGUGAGACAGUUCGGUCCCUAUCUGCCGUGGGCGCUGGAGAAUUGAGGGGGGCUGCUCCUAGUACGAGAGGACCGGGUGGACGCAUCACUGGUGUUCGGGUUGUCAUGCCAAUGGCACUGCCCGGUAGCUAAAUGCGGAAGAGAUAAGUGCUGAAAGCAUCUAAGCACGAAACUUGCCCCGAGAUGAGUUCUCCCUGAGACUUUAAGUCUCCUGAAGGAACGUUGAAGACGACGACGUUGAUAGGCCGGGUGUGUAAGCGCAGCGAUGCGUUGAGCUAACCGGUACUAAUGAACCGUGAGGCUUAACCUUACAACGCCGAAG